rnacentral:rRNA from 1 species
GACGAACGCUGGCGGCGUGCUUAACACAUGCAAGUCGAACGGAAAGGCCCUGCUUUUGUGGGGUGCUCGAGUGGCGAACGGGUGAGUAACACGUGAGUAACCUGCCCUCGACUUUGGGAUAACUUCAGGAAACUGGGGCUAAUGCCGGAUAGGAGCUCCUGCUGCAUGGUGGGGGUUGGAAAGUUUCGGCGGUUGGGGAUGGACUCGCGGCUUAUCAGCUUGUUGGUGGGGUAGUGGCUUACCAAGGCUUUGACGGGUAGCCGGCCUGAGAGGGUGACCGGCCACAUUGGGACUGAGAUACGGCCCAGACUCCUACGGGAGGCAGCAGUGGGGAAUAUUGCACAAUGGGCGGAAGCCUGAUGCAGCAACGCCGCGUGCGGGAUGACGGCCUUCGGGUUGUAAACCGCUUUCGCCUGUGACGAAGCGUGAGUGACGGUAAUGGGUAAAGAAGCACCGGCUAACUACGUG